UACGAAGGGGGCUAGCGUUGCUCGGAAUCACUGGGCGUAAAGCGCACGUAGGCGGCUUUCUAAGUCAGGGGUGAAAUCCUGGAGCUCAACUCCAGAACUGCCUUUGAUACUGUAGAGCUUGAGUCCGGAAGAGGUGAGUGGAACUCCGAGUGUAGAGGUGAAAUUCGUAGAUAUUCGGAAGAACACCAGUGGCGAAGGCGGCUCACUGGUCCGGUACUGACGCUGAGGUGCGAAAGCGUGGGGAGCAAACAGG
rnacentral:rRNA from 1 species